rnacentral:tRNA from 1 species
GGAAGUACAGCUUAGCAGUAGAGCACAUGCUUAAUAUGCACAAGGUCCUGGGUUCUAUCCCUAGUGCCUCCA